rnacentral:misc_RNA from 1 species
AAACCAUCAAGCCCUGCUUGGUCUUGGACGCGGUCGAGUGACCCGUCCGUAACCCGUUGGCGGUGCAGUCCGGCUUCAAGCGUAGCAAGAAUUUCGCUUCGGGAGUCCGCGGCGGCGUCUGCCAGGAAACACUACCCAAAGU